GAUUUCAAAUCACCACAUAUACAUAUCAUAAUGUCACUCCUUUAUAAUCUGAUAAUCUCUUUCACACAUUGUAUGUAUAUAAACUUCUGAACUGACAUAUGUUUUGUGUUCUCUUGACGUUUGCAUAAGCAUGAAUCAUGAUUUUAUGGCAAACAAUAAAUAUUAAAUACAGAAGAAAAGACUUGAAUGAAUAACACAUUUGAAGCCAUUUGGUGGCUGAAGGACUUGAAAAUUCGUUUUAUCACCAUGCAGUUUUUCUUUUCUCUACAAAUCCUUCACGGUGUCUCGUUAUCCAAAAUCUUUCUAUUUCUUGUGCUUUUCGGCCUGGAAUUCGCCCAGCUAUCAAAUCCCACCUGAAAAGAGCCCGUUUACAAUGUAAAGUGUAUUUGAAAAGAUAAUAAAAGAUGAACAAUGCAAUUCUAUGGCCUUUAGAAUUGAGAACAAGGAUAACAAAAUAUAUAGUUUUCCUCAUUAUCUUAUAAUUGCAUUCAUAAAUAGCAGAAAUGGCUCCAUUUAUUAGGCCAAAUGUUCUCAUAAAACAGUUGAUUUUUUUUUUCUUUGAAAAGUAAGGAGGGGAAGGGGUAGGGGAAUUAGCUCAUUACCUCUCUCCAACGAGCUUAUACAUUCUGUAGAUGAGAUCUUCCUCUUGUUCGCUCAUGUUUAUGAACUUCCAUUCAAUACUGCUAACUUCUGCAUAGAAAAAAAAAAAAAAAAGACAAGGAAAAGACUUUAGUGAGUAUUCUUGUUAUAGACACUAGAAGAAAAGGACCCAUGUGAAUUAAGCAUGAAAGGUUGGAAAGCAAGGAAAACUUAAAAUGAUGAAGUGGGAAAAAAGGGGAAGUAAAAGCAAACCUUCAGAUUCAAAAAUGGCUUGUUUCCGGUGGCACCUGUCCAUAGUUUCCGAUCACAGACAGAGAAUACAAGACAAAAAUGAGAGAAAAGUGAAGAUCUCCCAAAGCCCAGAAAAGAGUUGGGGAAAUGGGAAUAUGUGUUUGAUAUUUAAAUAUAUCAAAUGCUGGUCAACCAACGUGGAGUUCUAUGUCAGAGCGUGUGUUUGUGGACUGGUAGUUGAUAACACAUCCACGGAAAAGAAUUUUAAAGGUUAAAUUAGCGAAAACUUCAUGUAUAUACUUGUUUAACUAAUAAUUAAUACAUUAUUAAUAUUAUAAUAAAUCCUACUAAAAAUAUGAUGAAUCAUUCUAAAUAAAUAUAAUUUUUAAAUUUUAAUUAGUUGACUGUAUAAAUUAAUUACGUUAGAACUAUACAUAACUAACUGGCACAUGAAUUUAAUCCCUGAAUUUACUGAUCAGUUAAACGUACAAGCAAAGUAAUUGUUUUUAUAGUAUUUUAUUAGAUUUAUGUUCUUGUUCUGCACAGAUCUGAUCUUUGAGUAGGUUCGAUUAUCCUAAUUAUUUACACCCAUUCCCAGGCGAAAUAAAAAAAAAAAAAUUUAAGGUCUUUGAAAAAAAAAAGGCCGACAAUUCCCAACGAAUCUCCUUUAAGCAGCUGUAACACAUUACCACUCUGUUUUUUUUUUUUUUAAUAGAAACAAUACGCUAAGCUAGUCGUUUUUUAAUUCUAUUUUGUAAC
rnacentral:misc_RNA from 1 species